UCCAGGGUAGCCGAGUGGUAAGCACCGGCGGUAAGCAGAAGGGUGUGGGUUCGAUUCCCGCCCCUGGAC